rfam:Strongylocentrotus purpuratus Contig57366_fixed, whole genome shotgun sequence.
UGGCUCAGUCAGUAGAGCGUCCGCCUCACAACCGGGAGGUCGUGGGUUCGAACCCCAGC